UUCAGCGUGGCCGCAAUUCCGAAAAGACUGAAGGUAGAAAACUCUGGAACGGAGGCUGGCGACUGGAGCGGGAUCCAGGGGCUUUAAAAUUUAACCUGAGUUCGAUCGAAUGCGUCUACCAAAGCAGAUAACCCGGCGUCCGCCGUCCACUUAACUGCGACCAGGGCUUCCAAUGCCUUUCUUUUGUUUUUUACGUGAGUUCCGAUCAAAUUUUUACGUAGACUGAGUUUUGCAGAAGCUCCUUUGUAAGCCGUUACAGAAAGGUUGUGGGCAUUUGAUUUCCUUUGAGUCCAACUGUUCUUAAAUAUUUCUGAGGUUUGCUCUCAAAAGCAAAGUUUUCUUUUUAAAAAUUCAUAUCUCAGUGAGGUGAUUUCUAAUGAAAACAAGUUAACAAAUAAAUAAAUCCUUUGGCUGAGUUGGAGUCCGGGUUGUGAACGGCCUCCAAGCCUGAGCCCCGAGGAGACCGAGCCCCCGGGGCGAACCUGAUUCCUGCUGUGUGUGUGUUUCUUAUAUUUGCAAUUACGUGGGUGACCGUGUGAAUUUCCUUGGACAAUAGUUGACCCCCACGGACCGGCUUUUCCCGCCAAUCCGCAGCAGCGGGGACAGGGUGCACUGGCCCCGGCACGGCUGAGACAGAGGUGAGCGGCGGGACGCAGACCAACCCCACAACGUGCGAGUUCUCAGGCUCGAGAAAGGACAAGGCAUUCUACCCUCCAGAUUCCCAAUCAGUUUUGAACAUUGCUUAAAACAAAGGUGGGGGCAGGGAGGUCAUUGUUUGCUCUUUUGCAGGGUCACAAGUUGUUUUCUGGUUUUUUAGACUGGUCUUGUUUCUCUUGUCAGUUAACAGAGAAAUAAAACAAAACUGUUUGACCCGUGGAGUUUAUUCAGACAGAAUGCCAGGUUGCCUGACUGUUCCAGUUUGCAGUUUUCCCAACGCAUCGGCUUUGGCCUUGGGAACAACACCCCCGGGGCCCCGGGGAGCGGCACAUUUUCAAAGCCACCCCCCGGGGACCCGAGGCUCGGCGCUCUGAGCUUCCUCUGAGCGCCCCAGCUGGUCCGGGAAGGCCGGGGGGAUUAGGGGGGGCGCAGAGGAAGAAGUGCACCCCAAGAGCUGGCGAUGGCUCCCACAGUGCUUCAGAACGAUCUAUAAUUAGCUGAAACUCAGAAAAUCAGGAGUCAGUGCAGAUACAUGAAGAUGCCCCAUCAUCUCCAAGCCUUUGUCUGGGUACCUCCACCUUUGGCGGUCCCCAGGUGUUUGGAUAACAAGAACAACAGAAUAAGCAGUAGGGGCGGCUUCCCUGGUGGUGCAGUGGGUAAGAAUCCGCCUGCCAGUGCAGGGGACACGGGUUUGAGCACUGAUCCGAGCAGAUCCCACAUGCCACGGAGCAACUAAGCCUGUGAGCCACAACUAUUGAUCCUGCGCUCUAGAGCCCGCGUGCCACAACUACUGAGCCCACGUGCUGCAACUACUGAGCCUGCACUCUAGGGCCCACGAACCACAACUACUGAAACCUGCACACCUAGAGCCCAUGCUCCACAAGAGAAGCCACCGCAAUGAGAGACCCACUCUCUGCAACCAGAGGAAGCCCGCCCACAGCAACAAAGACCCAACACAGCCAUAAAUAAAUUAAUAAAUUAAUAAACAAACAAAUAAAUAAAUAAAUAAAAGAAAUCAGGGUCAGAUUUUCCAUUAAAAAUGUUGAAAGGAUUUUAUCUGAAUGUUUUAUACAAGUUUGCUAUUUAA